AGCGAACGCUGGCGGCAGGCUUAACACAUGCAAGUCGAGCGGGCGUAGCAAUACGUCAGCGGCAGACGGGUGAGUAACGCGUGGGAACGUACCUUUUGGUUCGGAACAACACAGGGAAACUUGUGCUGAUACCGGAUAAGCCCUUACGGGGCAAGAUUUAUCGCCGAAAGAUCGGCCCGCGUCUGAUUAGCUAGUUGGUGAGGUAACGGCUCACCAAGGCGACGAUCAGUAGCUGGUCUGAGAGGAUGAUCAGCCACAUUGGGACUGAGACACGGCCCAAACUCCUACGGGAGGCAGCAGUGGGGAAUAUUGGACAAUGGGCGCAAGCCUGAGCCAGCCAUGCCGCGUGAGUGAUGAAGGCCCUAGGGUUGUAAAGCUCUUUUGUGCGGGAAGAUAAUGACGGUACCGCAAGAAUAAGCCCCGGCUAACUUCGUGCCAGCCGCCGCGGUAAUAC
rnacentral:rRNA from 1 species